rnacentral:rRNA from 1 species
AUGUGGUUUAAUUCGAAGCAACGCGAAGAACCUUACCAGGCCUUGACAUGCAGAGAACUUUCCAGAGAUGGAUUGGUGCCUUCGGGAACUCUGACACAGGUGCUGCAUGGCUGUCGUCGGCUCGUGUCGUGAGAUGUUGGGUUAAGUCCGUAACGAGCGCAACCCUUGUCCUUAGUUACCAGCACGUUAUGGUGGGCACUCUAAGGAGACUGCCGGUGACAAACCGGAGGAAGGUGGGGAUGACGUCAAGUCAUCAUGGCCCUUACGGCCUGGGCUACACACGUGCUACAAUGGUCGGUACAAAGGGUUGCCAAGCCGCGAGGUGGAGCUAAUCCCAUAAAACCGAUCGUAGUCCGGAUCGCAGUCUGCAACUCGACUGCGUGAAGUCGGAAUCGCUAGUAAUCGUGAAUCAGAAUGUCACGGUGAAUACGUUCCCGGGCCUU